rnacentral:misc_RNA from 1 species
UUUGGUUUGUUACGGGUGGUUGGAUGUCUGCUUGGGCAGCAACGUCCACGCGUGCAUACCUCUUCAGUUGUGUUGCAGGGCUUGAUUGCUUACUGCACUACGUGGGUUUCUUGUGUUGCAUACCUAUUUGAUGGCACCGUAUGGAUCGAUGAAGUCCCUUUUCAUUGCGUGUCGCUAAUGCGGCGUGCUGUGGACCCAAAGGCGGUCUUUGUUGUCCAUUUUGUCAAUGCAUGUGCAUUGACGACCUGGCCGGUGGAGAAACGCUUGGUAUCUCGGAUAUGGAACCUGAUGUGGGCAAGGGGUCUCUUAUGAUCCUGCUUCUGCCCUCGUUGAGCAUUUUUGCUUCUCUGAAACGACAGCCUGUCAUGUCUCGGCUUGUUCGUGCAUGACGGGCUACGUCUACGA